rnacentral:rRNA from 1 species
AACGAACGCCGGCGGCAGGCUUAACACAUGCAAGUCGAGCGCCCCGCAAGGGGAGCGGCAGACGGGUGAGUAACGCGUGGGAAUCUACCCAUCUCUACGGAAUAACGCAUGGAAACGUGUGCUAAUACCGUAUACGUCCUUCGGGAGAAAGAUUUAUCGGAGAUGGAUGAGCCCGCGUUGGAUUAGCUAGUUGGUGGGGUAAAGGCCUACCAAGGCGACGAUCCAUAGCUGGUCUGAGAGGGUGAUCAGCCACACUGGGACUGAGACACGGCCCAGACUCCUACGGGAGGCAGCAGUGGGGAAUAUUGGACAAUGGGCGCAAGCCUGAUCCAGCCAUGCCGCGUGAGUGAUGAAGGCCCUAGGGUUGUAAAGCUCUUUCACCGGUGAAGAUAAUGACGGUAACCGGAGAAGAAGCCCCGGCUAACUUCGUGCCAGCCGCCGCGGUAAUAC